UCAAAAGCCUCUGGCGGCUCAGAUUUGGCCCACAGUCUGCCUGUUGACUACCCUGCACUAGGGCUUAAGCGACCAGAUGCCUAGAGGGAGGCAGCAGUGCACUUGCCCAGAGGCAGAAACUUAGGGGCCUAUGAAACUUUUACAGCAGAAAUUUAGGCUCCAAAUGAAUUUAGGCACCUAGAGAGUUAGGCAACAGCCAAGUAGGGGUUUUGUGGAUCUCAGUGGUGCCUAAAACUGAGACUUAGGUGCCUAAACCCCUGUGUGGAUCUGGGCCUAUAUGGAAAAAAAAACUUUAGUAAGUAUGAGUGUGGAAGGUCUCUUGCCUGAACUGAGGGGCAAGGUAGUAAGAGAGCCUGGUGCUGUCUUUUAUAGACUUCUGGCUAUGAGGAAUUAUUUAGGGUGCUCAAAAGUGGUAUAACUGGGAGCAACAUGAUGGAAUAAGGAAGAAAAAUUAGGCUGAAUAGGACAAAAAAACUUCCUGUUGGUGAGAGCUAUUCAAAUGGAAAUAGUAGAAACCUUAUUAUUUUGGAUUCUUAAAAUUAGACUGGAGAAAGCACUAGAAAACAGCAUAACAAACAGUCUUGCAAUGGCUAGGGGAUGGCAUCAAUAUGACCUAAUAGGUCUUUUCCAUCUCUAACUUCUACUAAGUCAGGGUUCAGGAAGCUUUUUGCCAUCUGGACUAGUCCUUCAAAACCAGACUUUAGGGCUGAUUUCCCCUUCUAAAUGAUGAUUUUGUCACCUACGGUUACAGCAUCUUCCAUUAUUCAGCUGAUCUUACUCAGUUUAUCUUUGGGUUUCUAACUGAAAUUUUCCCUGGAGCAACAGUUUUCAGAUCUAAAUUCUUCUAGUCAUUUUCACUGUGCUGUGCCCCUCUUGUACAAGAGGGAUACAGCACAAUGGUCACAGAUGAGACAAGACAGCAGUUACCUUUAGGCAAGAAUUACUAGUCUAGCUCCACUGAUACAGACAGUAAGAGAUAGGCAUAGGAGAGGACAUUAUUCUAACAACAUGGCAUCUCUUGGUGCUUAAUGCUGGUGCAGAUGAAUGUGAUCUAAGCAUAAGGAUGGUAAGCCCAUGGCUUGUAAACCCAGCCCUAGCACCAACUGUCUUUGUGUCCUUCAGCAAUUAAUUUAACCUCUACCUCAAUUUUUCCCUCUCUAAAGUGGAGAUAAUACCAAAGAAUUUUAAAUUGUAUUUGCUGUUCAGUGGCCUAUGUGAAAUGAUUUCGUUGGGUCUCAGCCUUAAUGCACAAGUGUCCCUGUCACUUGUUUAGCCUCUUCACAGAGGCCCAGAAUUGAAUGGGCCAUAGGGACUCAAUGAACACCACUCACCCCUAAAAGUGUGGGCAUCCCUGCAAGUCAGGUUUGAAGCAUACUGCCAGAGUAGCACUGUGUUUGGCAAGCUCAGGCCAGUCCCACAGGAUGCAGGGUUGUAUUAUGAUUAAGAGACGAUUCCCCACUUCACCAUGUGGUGGCACCACCAGCAAAUGUAAAAUCAAUACUGUACUUGGAACUACUGUAUGUGUCACAAGCUGGGACACUGACAACCUGUAACAUAGCCUGUGCUUGUCAACAAGCAGGUGUUUCCAAACCAUUUUAAUAACAAAAACUAAUGUGUGUUCUUUUAGGAUGGAGAAGGGGAAUUCUCUGGUAUGCUCUAAUAUUCCCCAUUGUGCUGAUGUUCUUCCAGCCUGAAAAGAGCAGAAUCAUGCAACUGGUCACUUAAGCAACAUGAGGCUCCCUUAAGAGCCUGGUGGUCUCUCUAUCUAAGGGGCCAAAAUGCAUGAAGUUCAUAUUUUGCAAACUGACAUAAAACAAAUGGCCAGAUGUACAUUGCCAUCUGAGCACAGGACUGGGAAUCGGGAGACAUGGAUUUUAGUCUCAAGUCUGCCACUGACUGGCUGUGAGCUUUGUGACCUUGGGUUGAUUCGAUCUGGCCUCCCUCUGCCUAUUUUGGCCAAGAAAUCUUGAGGCUUAAUCUCCACUUCCUUCUGCCUAAUUCUUGAAAGACAACAGAAGCGAUUUUUCUGGGUAAGUAUAUUCAUAUAUCCUCCAUCUCCUUCUUUGAUUUAGAUCUUUGUUUGCCUCCACUCUCAAUAACUUUAUUCCUUGACCUGGAUUUCUCCUUUUCC